GGGGUUGUGGCUCAGUGGUAGAGCGCUUGCCUAGCAUGCGUGAGGCACUGGGUUCAAUCCCUGGCACCA
rnacentral:tRNA from 1 species